GAGAGAGAGAGAGAGAGAGAGAGAAGAGAGAGAGGAUUCCAACUUUUCCUCAAAAUAGCUUAAGUAAAGAGAUGACCCGGCACAAUGCCCUUGGGAACACACAGAUCCACAUUCUGUUUGAGAGUCAUUGGCAAGGAAAAUUAAAAUUAAAUAUUAACCUCCACAAAGCAACCUGCAAUCCUGUUACCAAAUACCAAUCAUUACUAAAGGUCUUCAUCAAAAACACAAUUCUAUUGCUCUUAGGGAUGAAACCGUCUCCACUCUAUUUUUGGGAAACAUACUAACUCCUAUAUUCCUGGCCUUCCUUUCCCUCUCCUCACUUCCCAAGGGAAAGAUUUCUUUUCCCUAGUUUUUCUCCAAUGGACAGUAGUGGCCUCGACUCCUGGAAAGGGAAAGGAUGACAAUUGUCCCCUACAUGUGAAGCUACAUAACUAUCACUUCAUACAGGGUUCUGUAGGUUUCUAAUUCAGAGGGAUAACCAGAUCUCUACUGGGAACAAUUCAUAUUAAGAACAGUUUGCCUAUUUUUUAGAUUUAUUAUCAUUAUUAUAUGUAUUGUUUAUGUGUACAUAAAUGUAGGUGCCUUCAGAGGCCGGAAGUGUCAGACUCCCCUGGAGCUGGAGUUAUAGGCAGUUGUGACUGACUUGGGUGCUGGGAAUUAAACUUAGGUCCUCUGCAAGAGCUCAUAGGUGCCCUCACCCAUGAGCCAUACCUGAUCCUGUGUAUGGUGUGGCAUUAGUGGUAUGGUACUAGGCAUUGCUGCCUUCCAAUUCCUUAUUGUGGCUCAUUUCUGAAUUUCUUCUUGGAUGCUUGUUGUAGGAAGCCGCUUGUUUGUUCCUGGCUGCUCAGCCCUAAAAUAAUCACACAGAAACUAUAUUAAAUCACUGCUUGGCCCAUUAGCUCUAGCUUCUUAUUGGCUACCUCUUAUAUCCUAAUUUAACCCAUCUCAAUCUGUAUAUUGCAACAUGGUUGUGGCUUACCAACAAAGUUCCAUUUUGUCUGUUCUGGUGGUGGCUACAUA